UGGGGAAUAUUGCACAAUGGGCGCAAGCCUGAUGCAGCCAUGCCGCGUGUGUGAAGAAGGCCUUCGGGUUGUAAAGCACUUUCAGCGGGGAGGAAGGCGAUAAGGUUAAUAACCUUGUCGAUUGACGUUACCCGCAGAAGAAGCACCGGCUAACUCCGUGCCAGCAGCCGCGGUAAUACGGAGGGUGCAAGCGUUAAUCGGAAUUACUGGGCGUAAAGCGCACGCAGGCGGUCUGUCAAGUCGGAUGUGAAAUCCCCGGGCUCAACCUGGGAACUGCAUUCGAAACUGGCAGGCUAGAGUCUUGUAGAGGGGGGUAGAAUUCCAGGGGUAGCGGUGAAAUGCGUAGAGAUCUGGAGGAAUACCGGUGGCGAAGGCGGCCCCCUGGACAAAGACUGACGCUCAGGUGCGAAAGCGUGGGGAGCAAACAGG
rnacentral:rRNA from 1 species